rnacentral:rRNA from 1 species
AUUGAACGCUGGCGGAAUGCUUUACACAUGCAAGUCGAACGGCAGCACGGGGGCAACCCUGGUGGCGAGUGGCGAACGGGUGAGUAAUACAUCGGAACGUGCCCAGUCGUGGGGGAUAACGUAGCGAAAGCUACGCUAAUACCGCAUACGAUCUACGGAUGAAAGCGGGGGAUCGCAAGACCUCGCGCGAUUGGAGCGGCCGAUGGCAGAUUAGGUAGUUGGUGGGGUAAAGGCUCACCAAGCCUUCGAUCUGUAGCUGGUCUGAGAGGACGACCAGCCACACUGGGACUGAGACACGGCCCAGACUCCUACGGGAGGCAGCAGUGGGGAAUUUUGGACAAUGGGCGAAAGCCUGAUCCAGCCAUUCCGCGUGCAGGAUGAAGGCCCUCGGGUUGUAAACUGCUUUUGUACGGAACGAAACGGCCUUUUCUAAUACAGAGGGCUAAUGACGGUACCGUAAGAAUAAAGCACCGGCUAACUACGUG